rnacentral:hammerhead_ribozyme from 1 species
CUACUACUGAUGAGACCGAACCAGGUCGAAACAGCUGUCUAGUGC